GUCUAAGUACUAGCCAACUUAAAGAAUGGUGAAACCGCGAAAAGCUCAUUAAAUCGGCUUUGGUUCCUUAGAUAGUUUGCAGAUUGGAGUUAUUUUCGGAGCGCUGUUGCGUUUUGAAAAGAACAAAAUUCUGAAAUGGAUAACUGUGGUAAUUCUAGAGCUAAUACAUGAAAAAUUUCGGUGUGAAAUUUCGCGACAAAUUAGCACUUUUGCUGUUUUGUUGCGUAAAAUUUUGCACGCUUUUAUUAGAGAAAAAAGCCAAUUUUAUAAACGUUUUGCAUGUGUGCGCACGUACGCACGCACGCAGACUUGUACGCGCGCACAUUCGUGUGCGUUACAAUGUCGCGUCGUCGUCGUCGUUGUCGUCACGUUAUGCGAAUAAAUACAAUCGUAAAAAUCGGUGUUGAAUCUGAAUAACUUGAAACGGUUUUCUUUGAAAGAAUUCUUUUUCUAUUUGCUUAGAAAGGAAUUUGAACUAGGAGAAGAUUUAAAGCAGACCGCAUUUUUAAGCUACGAACGCGUUAAAUCGCCAUCGGUAUUUUUCCAGUUAAAAAAAUGGACGAAAAGAACCGAUCGUUUGCGAUUAGUGUUCGUAGCGAUUGCGGCGUGUCUUUCAAUUGUCUGCCUUAUCAACUGUCGAUGGUAGGUUACAUGCCUACCAUGGUUGUAACGGGUAACGGGGAAUCAGGGUUCGAUUCCGGAGAGGGAGCCUUAGAAACGGCUACCACAUCUAAGGAAGGCAGCAGGCACGCAAAUUACCCAAUUCCGGCACGGAGAGGUAGUGACGAUAAAUAACGAUCCGGAACUCGAAUGAGUUUCCGAAAUCGGAAUGAGUACAGCCUAAAUCCUUUAACGAGGAACUAAUGGAGGGCAAGUCUGGUGCCAGCAGCCGCGGUAAUUCCAGCUCCAUUAGCAUAUAUUAAAGUUGUUGCGUUUAAAAAGCUCGUAGUCGAAUUUGUAUCUCGUACUGUUAGACGCUCGCGAUUUUAUUCGUGCAGUUGUUUGACAUUUUUCAUUGUACGAGAUAUCAAUGCUGGUGGAUAUUUAGGAUUUGCGUACGUGCGAUCGCUUCGCGCGUUCGUACGUUUGUCGAAUUCGAUGUUCGAUACGAUGGAUUUUUUACAAAUUUCGCAAACGGUCAAUCGGUAAAACAAUCGAUGACGAACACGAACAAGAACAGCAGUGUUCUGUUUCGUUUCGAAAAUCGAUUCGAUUUUCCGUUGUGAAUUUUUUCAAUUCAAUCGUAUUCCGGACGCGUGCGAGUAGUUGCACUUUUCGAAAGUACUACUGCUGUCUGUUUGCGUUCGGACCAGCGAAAUUACUUUGAACAAAUUAGGGUGCUUAAAGCAGGCAAAUUUUUAAUGCCUUGAAUAUAAACAGCAUGGAAUAAUAGAAAAUGAUCUCGAUACUGUUUUCGUAAUUUGUUGUUUGCUGCUGCGUACGUUACAACGAUUUAUGUCGUAGUUUGUGCGUAGCUCGAGCAGCGAAAUAAAAUUGGCUUAAAGUGAAUGAAAUGUAUGCAAAUUCAUAAAAGACGUAACAAUACAACACUAUCGAUAAAAUACAACGUGCGCGCGAACGCUCGCACGCUUGCGUCCGAUUGGAAACAUUUCUAAUCGUUUUGUUUUCGAAUUAUUCUUUCGUACAUAAGUGUUGUACCUCUUGGAAUUUUUUUUUUCGUUUAUUCGGAAAAAAAAUCCACGUAUGUCUUACUCGCAGUUUUCUGUGUGGUAAUGACAUUUCGCCAAAAAAAAAGAGUCUAAAUGGACGUAUGCCCGUUUAGUUUGUACGCUACAAAACGCUAGUUCGAUCGAGUUUUCGACAAAUCGUGUGUGUUUACAAUACGCGGUUUGUACAACGAAUUUUGUCGCUGUUGUCGUCGUCGUCGUGUUCGUUGUUGCUAUGUUUGUAUUUUGAUUGCGUUGAUUAUGUUUUCGUUUUCUGAAUUUGUGUUUUGUUCACGAC
rnacentral:rRNA from 1 species